ACGAAGGGUGCAAGCGUUACUCGGAAUUACUGGGCGUAAAGCGUGCGCAGGCGGUUCGUCGCGUCCGAUGUGAAAGCCCCGGGCUCAACCUGGGAAUGGCAUUGGAAACUGGCGGACUCGAGUGUGGCAGAGGGGGGUGGAAUUCCGCGUGUAGCAGUGAAAUGCGUAGAGAUGCGGAGGAACACCGAUGGCGAAGGCAGCCCCCUGGGCUAACACUGACGCUCAGGCACGAAAGCGUGGAGAGCAAACAGGA
rnacentral:rRNA from 1 species